UCAGCACAAACAGUUCAUGCUACUGCCCUAUUCUUCAAGAUUUAGAAGAAGAUGAUCUAGAUCCAAGCAAAAGGAGCAAGGCCUACAAAGUACUAGCACUCUGAUGGCUUCGGCACUCUAAUUAGAUUAUCUUCGUAUCGAUAUCAAUAGAGGCCGGACGCUUGCACAGCUACGACAGAAACCCCGAGCAUCCGUAGGAUCUGAUCUGAGUA
rnacentral:lncRNA from 1 species